ensembl:misc_RNA Gm24363 predicted gene, 24363
GGGUAUGUGAAUUAUGUCUGUGACAUUUGUUACUUUAUUGGUGACCAGGAUUGAGUCUAUUGAUCUGACUGGGAGGCAGGCAUCGCUGUCUUCUCUCAGAUCUUUCCAUAUAUCUUUCCUCAUGCUGUUCGUCUAGUCCAUCAGAGAGAACAGCCUUUCCUAGGGGAGGAGGGCCAGUGAAGAAUAUAAAGGUAGCUCUGCUUCUUUGUUUGAGCCUCCAAACAAACUCUGAAGGCAUCUCAGGGAACAGCCAUGUUUACUUCUACCAUGUAAUUGUCUUGCUACUGACGUUCCCACCGGGGACCACUUAC